AUUUGAUGAUGGGGGCAACUUGCACGUUACCUCUUGAAUCUCUUCCAAUAUUCAUAUAAACCUUCUACAUGUAGUUGUUUAAUUCCUGAAAUGUAUUUUCUGAUUGU
rnacentral:snoRNA from 1 species